AUGAAAAUUUUAAAAAUACAACAAAAUAUAAUGAUAUACCAUGUAUAAGUGAAAGGAAAACAACAACUAAAAAGAAGAAAAAAAGAACAUCAAUCUCAUUUUUCUAUUUAGUGUGUUAGUAAUGAUAUCCAUUAAUUGGUUUAAGAAUAUAAAUUUUAUUUGAUAAUAUUAAUAUAUUUGGCUGGCACACUAAAACAAAGCAAAACUAAAAAAAAAAUAUAUAGCUCUUAAAUAUUAAUAAAAUACAAAUAUAAACAAAACAAAUUAUAUAGUAAAUAAAAUAUUAUAAAUGAACAGAUUAAAAUGCAUAAACCGCGCGUAGCGCGGUGAAAAGUUCUAGUGUUCUAUAAAUGUUUUAAAUGGUAUAAAACCAUGAGAAUAUCGCAAGAUAUUACUGGCCGC
rnacentral:lncRNA from 1 species